GCCUCCGUGGCGCAGUUGGGAGCGCGAUGGCCCCGGCAAGGCCAGAGGCCGCAGGUUCGAGUCCUGCCGGAGGUG
rnacentral:tRNA from 1 species